UUGAAAGAUGCCAAGAGACCAUAUUGGUUUCACAACCUCUAGAAGACCUUGAUCCUUUCCUGAUCACCCAUGCCAGUGAGCACACAGGGAUUUCCUGAAGGACCUUUGAAAUAAAGAACAUUUCAUGGCAGAGGGUCACCCUUGACAUUCUGCCUCGUGACACUGUAAUAAAGCCAUUUAGCCAGGCAGCUUCAGAGAGAGGGCUCAGCCCAGACUAUUUUCUAUGCUGUGACAGAUUCAGCUCCUCCAUGGAUCAGCAUACUCAGAUAAAGGCCACUGUCCAGAUGACUUUGAUGUGUGGCAUUUCCUUCUCAACACCAAGUUUCUGGCAUCACUGGAACAGAAAUAAUCAUGGAGACAUCCACAUCAGCUCCUCAGCAGCUAAGUCUCAAAGUAAGUCUUUUUGUUUUGUUUUGUUUUGUUUUUUGAGAUGGAGUCUCGCUCUGUCACCCAGGCUGGAGUAUAGUGGCUUGAUCUUGGCUCACUGCAAGCUCCACCUCCCGGGUUCACACCAUUCUCCUGCCUCAGCCUCCCAAGUAGCUGGGACUGCAGGCACCUGCCACCACGCCCAAGUAAUACUUUUUUUGUAUUUUUAGUAGAGACGGGGUUUCACCGUGUUAGCCAGGAUGGUCUCGAUCUCCUGACCUCGUGAUCCACCCGCCUCGGCCUCCCAAAGUGCUGGGAUUACAGGCGUGAGCCACCAUGCCCAGCCCAAAGUAAGUCUUUUAAUUCCCAGUCUUGGACCACUGUGCAAGACUAAUCGCAAAGUCCCAUGCAAUGCAAAGGGGCUAGGAAAUGUAGUUUCCCUAACUACAAAAAGGUGAAGAGAACUGGUGACAUUGAAUUCUAAUAAUAAUAAUGUUUACCUCAAAACUCCAUCAAAAUAAGACAAGUUUAACUUGAAACUGCACCUGUCUGUACUGGGUUGAAUAAUAUUCCUCAAAAUUUAUGUCUACCAGGAACUUCAGCGUAGGAUCUUUUUGGGAAAUAGGGUCUUUGAAGAUGUAGUUAGUUAAGAUGAGGUCAUACUGCUUUAGGAUGGGCCCUAAACCCAAAGACUGGUGUCCUUAGAAGAAGGUCAUGUGAAGAUUUAGAGAGGCACCCAGGGAGGCUAUCUGUGACAAUGGAGAUAGAGAUUGAAGGGAUGCAUCUACAAGUAAAAGAAUGCCAUUGGUGGCCAGCAGCCACCAGAAACUGGACAUGGAACAGAUUCCCUUCAGAUCAUCCAGAAGAAGCCAGCCUUGUCAAAACCUUGAUUUCAGAAUUCUAGCUUCUAGAACUGUGAAAGAAUAAAUUUCUGCUACUUUAAGCCAAGAAGUUUGUGGUAAUCUGUUAUGGCAACCCUAAGAAAUUAAUAUACCAUCCCCUAAAAAAAAAAAAAAAGUAGUAGGUAGACAGUUAAUCACUUCUCACUUGUUCCUGACCUACAGACAAGUGCAGAAACACAGUCACAGCAGCUCCCCGUAGGGGCUUGGCUUUGUUUUAACUCAGGAUAUUCAUUUUGAAGAAAUAGUCAUAAAAUACAUUACGCUGAACUAUUUAAACUCAACGGGGC
ensembl:lincRNA